rnacentral:lncRNA from 1 species
AAGUGCAGACUUGGCAACUAGGGGCGAUAGAACCAGGAAGUUAAGCGUGCUCGGGCUGAAGCAGUGAAAGGAUGGGUGACCGGCCGAGAAGUUAGAUGAUUUGAAAUGAGUAAUCUAUGCUAGAGCACUGAGGAUGGGUGAUUAGAGAUUAAAUUGUCAAAUAAAUCAAAGAUUUAAAACUUGAAAUGAAACAUAAAAACAAAUCAAAGAAUAUUCAAAAAUAAAAUUUGAAAAAUAAAUAAAAAAG